rnacentral:rRNA from 1 species
UACGAAGGGGGCUAGCGUUGCUCGGAAUCACUGGGCGUAAAGUGCACGUAGGCGGAUCUUUAAGUCAGGGGUGAAAUCCUGGAGCUCAACUCCAGAACUGCCUUUGAUACUGGGGAUCUCGAGUCCGGAAGAGGUGAGUGGAACUCCGAGUGUAGAGGUGAAAAUUCGUAGAUAUUCGGAAGAACACCAGUGGCGAAGGCGGCUCACUGGUCCGGUACUGACGCUGAGGUGCG